CAGUGAUGGCCCUGGAAUGGGAACAGAACAAGACCGGGAAACUCAUUUCUUAAUUUUCUGUCCCCGCCCCCUUACACCCAUCUCUCAAAAGCUGAAGGCAACACCCGAGAGUCAUUCCCGCCCUGCUCUGCACCCUGGGAAGUUGACCCCAGGAGACUGCUUCAUCCCCACUCCCCUCCUUCUGGCUUCGAGUUGGGUUCAGCCAAUGGGAGAGCCCAACAGGACAUGGGAGGGUGGGAGGAGAGAGGCCCGGUGUGUAAACUCCACUCUCUCCUUGCCUCAGCACCUCCAGGACUAUGGCUCCACUGGGCAGCCCCCUGCUAAAGCUGUAGCCCUCUCUGGGCUCUGGUACUGCUGUUUUCUCCCCUUGCCCUUUUGGCCUUGAG
rnacentral:lncRNA from 1 species